GCAGGUUGAGCCCCCGCUACAGCAGGCUGAUCCCUAGCCACCCCGGCAGGAGCCUGCUCCUCCACAGUACCACCCGGCACCACAGCCGCGGUACGACCCGGUACCACAGCCACGGUACCACCAGGCACCGCCACAGCACAUUUCAGUACCCCCACCACAUCAGCAGGUGCCACCACAGGGACCCCCAGUUCACCCUCAGCCGGCCCCAGUCCCUCUACCUCGGGACCCCGCUCCUUCCUUGAUCGACCCCGGCUUCAUAGAGAGGUACAGAAGACUGAACCCUUCUACUUUUGCAGGGGGAUCCUCUUUUGAAGAGGCCAAUACUGGCUGGCAGAGACUGAGAGAGCUUUCGAGACCUUGGGAGUAGUUCCUGAGCAGAGGGCUGCCAUUGCCUCCUACAUGCUGGUAGGGGAAGCAGUACGCUGGUGGG
rnacentral:lncRNA from 1 species